rnacentral:rRNA from 1 species
GACGAACGCUGGCGGCGUGCCUAAUACAUGCAAGUUGAGCGCUGAAGGCUGGUACUUGUACCAACUGGAUGAGCAGCGAACGGGUGAGUAACGCGUGGGGAAUCUGCCUUUGAGCGGGGGACAACAUUUGGAAACGAAUGCUAAUACCGCAUAAAAACUUUAAACACAAGUUGGAAGUGUGAAAGAUGCAAUUGCAUCACUCAAAGAUGAUCCCGCGUUGUAUUAGCUAGGUGGUGAGGUAAAGGCUCACCAAGGGGAUGAAACAGAGCCGCCCUGAGAGGAGGGUUGGCCGCACUGGGAGGGUGACCCGCCACAAAGGCCUACGGGAGGGGCCCGGAGGGAAUCUUCGGCAAGGGGCGGAAGUCUGAGCGCGCAACGCCGCAGGAGUGAGGAAGAUUUUCGCGUCGUGAAUCUCUGUUGUUAGGGAAGAACCUUGGUGCGACUGGAACGCACAGCGAGUGACGGUAACUACCCAGAAAGGAACGGCUAACUACGUG